CACGUGGGUAACCUGCCCAAGAGACUGGGAUAACACCUGGAAACAGAUGCUAAUACCGGAUAACAACACUAGACGCAUGUCUAGAGUUUAAAAGAUGGUUCUGCUAUCACUCUUGGAUGGACCUGCGGUGCAUUAGCUAGUUGGUAAGGUAACGGCUUACCAAGGCAAUGAUGCAUAGCCGAGUUGAGAGACUGAUCGGCCACAUUGGGACUGAGACACGGCCCAAACUCCUACGGGAGGCAGCAG
rnacentral:rRNA from 1 species